rnacentral:misc_RNA from 1 species
AAGACGCGCGAAGUUAGUAAGAAGACGUCAUUGAAUUUAGCUAACCUUUUGCUAAGUGGAAAAUGUUGUGAUAAAUUGUAAAUUUUUUAAAUUGUGUAAAAAUGACAAAAUGUUGUGUUGUGCAAGGAUGCAAAAGCGGUCAUUCAGAUGAUGAGCGGAAACGCAAAGCUAAAGGUUUACGGAAAAGAACACUCUUUCAAGUUCCAAAAUGUCAUAUUCGACGUCAACUGUGGGUAAAUGCUCUUCAACAAGAACUUAAAGACAGUGAUCGUGUCUGUGAACUUCAUUUUUUGGAUGAAUAUAUCGUAAAGGGCAAAUCAGUUUUGAUCAAUGGGGAGUCUAUUUUCAUAGAAAAUGAAAGGUGGCAUUUAACUGAUAACGCGAUUCCUCUUAGAGAAGAAAAAUGUCAAAAUCAGCAAUCGAUGAAUUGCAAUCAGUCUACUGAAGAAGAACAAUCGUGUUCGCUAUCAGAACAACAAAUUUUUGAUCAACAAUUUAUUCAAGAAGAGCAAAUUCUUCUAGUUGACACUGAAAAUUUACAGCCAACAGGACUACUAUUGGAGCAGUCUGUUGAGCCAUCAGUUUCCCAAAUGGAAUGCGAUGAGAUUAUACCAAAUGAAGUGUUGCUAGAGCAAACUGCAUCAUCUUUAUCUGCAGUUUCAUUAGCUUUACCAAAUGAAUUGUCACUAGAGCAAGUAGUAUCAUCGUUUUCGGCAGUUCUACCAGAACGUUGGUGUUACUAUGUACAAUCAUCGGAUAUGAUUUUGAUUCAUCUCGAUGUAGGUAGCUUGUUGGAAAAAUUAAGAUUACGAGUAACAGCUGAUCUUUCUGUUACGCUUGUAAUGCCACAUCGAUCAGAAAUAAUUCUCACUGAUCGUGUAUCAUCUAUGGAAGAAUUGUACGCAUCUAUGCGUAAAGCAGAAUCACUCACAAUUUGUUGCGGAACAUUAUUUGAUGAAAAUAGAUUUGCCACCCAGUGUAGUGGAAUCAUCACACCGAAUGAAAAUUAUCAGCGUCAGCAAUUAAAUCCUCGCUGUCGAGCGUGCCGCAUACUUCGCCAAAGAAUACAAGCAAACAUGAGAUAUAAACGCGAUUCGACACUUGCUUUUCGUAUUAAACGAAAAAAGGAAAUUUACCGACAACGAUGUCAUCGACUUAUUAAGAAGGUUUAGACACCGUAGACUGCUGACCUACCAUACUUGACAAAAAACUGAUGUACUUCUCACUGAAAUAUUUAAAAAAAAGUGCAGUCAUCUCAGUAAUGAUGCAAGAGAUAUUGCAGCAAAAAUUAAUGACAGCCAAAAAACGGUGUAGUGAACGUUCUGAAAAAAUUUUAAAAGAGCAACUGACGCAAUUGCCAGAGUUGCAACAGCUUGCUGUUUGGAGUUGUUUUGAAGCUGCUAAACAUA